GACGAACGCUGGCGGCGCGCCUAACACAUGCAAGUCGAACGAGCGAGAGAGAGCUUGCUUUCUCGAGCGAGUGGCGAACGGGUGAGUAACGCGUGAGGAACCUGCCUCAAAGAGGGGGACAACAGUUGGAAACGACUGCUAAUACCGCAUAAGCCCACGGCUCGGCAUCGAGCAGAGGGAAAAGGAGCAAUCCGCUUUGAGAUGGCCUCGCGUCCGAUUAGCUAGUUGGUGAGGUAAUGGCCCACCAAGGCGACGAUCGGUAGCCGGACUGAGAGGUUGAACGGCCACAUUGGGACUGAGACACGGCCCAGACUCCUACGGGAGGCAGCAGUGGGGAAUAUUGCACAAUGGGGGAAACCCUGAUGCAGCGACGCCGCGUGGAGGAAGAAGGUCUUCGGAUUGUAAACUCCUGUUGUUGAGGAAGAUAAUGACGGUACUCAACAAGGAAGUGACG
rnacentral:rRNA from 1 species